AACACGUGGGGAACCUGCCCCAUAGCCUGGGAUACCACUUGGAAACAGGUGCUAAUACCGGAUAAGAAAGCGGAUCGCAUGAUCAGCUUUUAAAAGGCGGCGUAAGCUGUCGCUAUGGGAUGGCCCCGCGGUGCAUUAGCUAGUUGGUAAGGUAAAGGCUUACCAAGGCGAUGAUGCAUAGCCGAGUUGAGAGACUGAUCGGCCACAUUGGGACUGAGACACGGCCCAAACUCCUACGGGAGGCAGCAGAC
rnacentral:rRNA from 1 species